AAUGGGAGAUGAGGAGAUGAGUCCAGAGGGAGGAGUGCAGUCGCGGGAAGAUACCGGCCUGCCCUGAGGCAGGGGCUCUGGGACCGGACAUGCAGAGUCAAGAGAUAUUCAGGAGGAAAAAUGACCAGAUUUUGUGAUUAACUGAUUGAAAGACAGGCAGAUUACAGCAGGAAAAAAGAAGGGAGGUUAGGUUAACUCCAGUGGCUUUGCUCUUGGAUGGCCAGCUGGACAAUGGCUCCCUUCACUGUGCCGGAGGAUAGGAGAAGAAGAGUAAGUUGUAGGAACAAGCCUACAAGCCAAUGACGUCAAUACUGGAUCGGGUAAAAGUGAGCCAAGUGAAAAACUCUUAGGCAGAGAUGGCAGGUAGGAUUUUCGGGGUGAUCUUUUUCAAACAGGGAAAUUUGUGCCCAGAGAGGUUACAGGAAUCAGUCGACUCCACGUAGCUGAUGAGUGGCAGAAAGCAACUCAAGGCCCAGCUGUGCCCAGGUAUGCUACUGUAGUCCAGGGCUCUUUUCACUACACCCUCUGCCUUCACCUUCCGCCCUCCUGCCUUGCAGCAACAGCUCAAGAUAAGGUCUCCACCACACAGUCACUGGCUGGAGGGGAGAGAAAGAAGUACAAAGGCAUGGUCUUUGGUAGUAAACACCUUGAAAUCAAGUCAGAUGGAUUAAAAGAAGUCACAAAAUGAUUAGCAAACAAGAAGAUACGUAAAUGUGAUGGUGACUAACACUAUAGAAGGAGUUCAGAAAAUAAAGAAACAAGUGUAUUAGAAGAAGAAGGACAAAUCUUCAGAGAAGAGAGCCCUCGAGGCUUAAAGAUGGAAGGAGCCACGUGGCAAGGAAGUGGGUGACCUUAGAGACUGACAGCAGCCCCCAUCUGACAGCAAGCAAAGAAAUGGAGACCUCAGUUCCACAAGCUCAAGCAACUAAUUUCUGCCACCUAAGAGAAUGAACUUGGAAGUGGAUUUUCCACCAGGGUCUCCAUUUGAGAACUCAGUACAGACAAUAUCUUGAUUUCAGUCUUCUUGAGCAGAAUCUAGUCAUGCUGUGAAGGACUUCUGACCUACAGAGCUGUGCUAAUGAAUGGGUAUUAUUUUAAGCCUCUAAACUUGUUACCCAGCAAUAGAAAACUAAUACAGGGAAGAAAUAAGAAAGAUGUUUGUAAUUUGAUUCUCCAUAGUCAGGCACAUGGAAAAGUAAACUCUUUCUUCCUACUUCUAAAAGCCAAAGUCAUACACCCUCAGGCUAUGUGUGAUUUGCCUAAGCAGUCAUAUAAAGCUAUUUUAUGCUUUCAACAAAUGUUUAUUGACCUUCAGGUGAUACCUUGGGAACUGUGUAUGUAGGAAUAAGUAAAAAUAUUGGAAUUUGAUUAUUAACAUUUUAAACUAGUUGGACCAUUAGAGGACUAGUAGAAGUUCUUACCACAAAGAAAAGAAUGACUUAUGACAGCAGUCCCCAAUCUUCUGGGCACCAGGGACCAUUACAGAAGUAGAAGUAUAGCAUUUUAAAUGACUUGGUUUAAAACUGGCAGCAGCCUCAUAGUGUAUGUCUGCCUAUAUUUUAAUAUACAUGCAUAAUUUAUUUUUAUAACAAUUUUUAUAAUUUAUUGGCAGUGUGUAUGUAUUUGAUAACUGAUAUGGUUUGGCUGUGUCCUCAUCCAAAUCUCAUCUUGAAUUUUAACUCCCACAAUUCCCACAUGUCAUGGGAGGAACCUAGUGGAAGUGAUUGAAUUAUGGGAGUGGGUCUUUCCUGUGCUGUUCUCAUGAUAGUGAAUGAGUCUCAUGAGACUGAUAGUUUCAAAAAGGGGAGUUUCCCUGAACAAGCUCUCUUCUCUUGCCUGCCACCAUGUGAGACAUGCCUUUCACUUUCCACCAUGAUUGUGAAGUCUCCCCAGCCACAUGAAACUAAGUCCAAUAAACCUCUUUCUUUUGU